ACGCAGCCUGAUCAGCAUGCCGCGUGCAGGAUGAAGGCCUUCGGGUUGUAAACUGCUUUUGUACGGAACGAAACGGCUCCUUCUAAUAAAGGGGGCUAAUGACGGUACCGUAAGAAUAAGCACCGGCUAACUACGUGCCAGCAGCCGCGGUAAUACGUAGGGUGCGAGCGUUAAUCGGAAUUACUGGGCGUAAAGCGUGCGCAGGCGGUGAUGUAAGACAGAUGUGAAAUCCCCGGGCUCAACCUGGGACCUGCAUUUGUGACUGCAUUGCUAGAGUACGGUAGAGGGGGAUGGAAUUCCGCGUGUAGCAGUGAAAUGCGUAGAUAUGCGGAGGAACACCGAUGGCGAAGGCAAUCCCCUGGACCUGUACUGACGCUCAUGCACGAAAGCGUGGGGAGCAAACAGGAUUAGAUACCCUGGUAGUCCACGCCCUAAACGAUGUCAACUGGUUGUUGGGUCUUCACUGACUCAGUAACGAAGCUAACGCGUGAAGUUGACCGCCUGGGGAGUACGGCCGCAAGGUUGAAACUCAAAGGAAAUUGACG
rnacentral:rRNA from 1 species